CAGCCGCUUCUUUAAAUUUAAAAUACCUUCAGAACAACACUUUUCGUCAUAAACUACUAAAUAAUAUAGUUUCACUGAUGAGUUUACAGACGCAAAAAUUUAUUUUGACCUAUACCACAUCCGCUACUGACAUCAAGAUUCGCUACAAACACAACACAAAGGUAGGGUACUGCUCCCUCCACCAAAGCCAUUGACUAAGAACGGCAAAAGCAUGCCACAAUGUAUUUUUGGUGAUGAGGCUCUCCCUCAGAAAACCUGGCUGAUGAGACCAUACCUUGGAAAAUCCCUGAAUUCCAUAUCAAAGAAAAUUUUCAAUUACAGGCUAUCUAGAGCUAGAAGGACAAUAGAAAAUGCAUUUGGUAUCAUGGUUUCAAAUUGGAGGUUAUUCAAAAGUACAAUUGAUGCUGAGCCUACAAAUGUAGUAAAAAUGAGUAAAGCUAUUUGUGUACACCACAGCUUUUUAAGGCAAAGCAAUGUUUCCAUUUACACACCAUCAGACUUUACAGAUUCUGUUGAUAAAAAUGGUCAAAUCACUGAUGGAAUAUGGCUGGCUGAAGGAGAAAUAGCUGCUCUUCAUACACUUACUCCAAAUUCUAGGAACCAAACAAAAGCAGACCUAAGGGUUCGGGAUGACUUUGCAAAUUUUUUUGCUUGAACUCCUAGUGAAUUGUCAUGGCAGCAAGAUUAUGUACUCCACACCUAUUAGGCAUCACAUAAACACACAUUUAUUUUGCUUAGAAUGUAAUAUUUUGAAAUUAAUUUUAGUGGCAUAGCCCAUCCACAAAUUUGGUCAUAAAUUUACCAUAAUCAGCAUUAUUCAUUUUUUUACAAUUCCAUUCCAUUACAGUGAUUGAACACUGAAAUAUUAACAUAACAUGACCAAACUUGUGGGCAGACUAUACCACAGUAUACUAUAAAUAACAUGAACUAUCAGGGUUGUCCACUAGGAAAUUCAAGGUUAAAAAGAACAUCUUCAAUUUUCUUCUUUGCUUUUGCUCUGCUAAAAGCAGUAGGCAGGUUCCUAAUUUGUUCGGCAACACUCAUGCCAAAAUGAUCGUACUCAUCAGGAGGUUUGGCAGCCAUCUUCGAAGUGCUAUUCUUGAAUGUCUCCAAACAAUCUAUCAAUUUUUUGGUAAAAAGAAAGCUCGCUUCCUGCCUUUCACUUUCUUGUGGCAGUGUUUGACCCUGUUGGGUUUGCAGGGCUGGGUGAAGGGCUCCUAUAACUUCCAUAUUCACUGAAAGUUUCAAGUGGAGGGCUUUCAGCAGUUAGAAAAUUGAAAAUUCAGUAUGUAAUCAGUCAAUUUACCUGUGUAAUCAAAGCCAAUCUCGCGCAUUUCAUCUGCAUCUUGUCCCAAAAAUUGGAUUUCAACUUUUCAUUUUUGUAAUCUUUUAAAGACAUAUCAUAGAGUACUGGGUACUUUCGAAAAAUAUUAAUUAAUGAUUCUUCGAAAGACGCCGUGUUUAAAAUUUUUGACAGCGACGCAGGAUUUCAUGUGCUCAAGCGAAUUCGCUGAUAAAGCUGAAAGCAGUGAACGCUAUUAAAAGACUGGAACGAUAACUCAAAUACAAAAGCCAUAUGAUAAAAUGAAGCCAAUAUGACGGCUAUAGAGUGAUAUUUUGAAGGUAUAAAACACGCGUGUUGUGUGCGUGGAUUGUCACGAAUAUAGAAAAGACAACCCUACAUGGCAAUGUUUUCACAAUGUGUUGUGUGAGUUUUAAGUUUGAAAAACAUUGAAUAUGCCGUGUUUUUAAAAUUUAAGAUUGUAAAUUAAGAUUUUAAAAUUUAAGAUUUUAAAAUUAGAAUUCUUAACCUUGAAGUUUUAGUUUCUUUCAAUCCCUUGAAAUCAUCGGCCUAGCUCGCUAUCCGGGCCAGCUCGUCUCCAUAUAUUCAGGCCCUAAUGCAAAGAAAAGUUGUAACAAGGUCAUUUGACAAAACUGUAAACACAAAGCAUGUUUUGAAUACUCACAAUACACAAGGC